rnacentral:rRNA from 1 species
GACGAACCGUGCGAACGUUGUUCGGAAUCACUGGGCUUAAAGGGCGCGUAGGUGGUUUGCCAAGUCGGGGUUGAAGUCUUUCGGCUCAACCGGAAAAGUGGCUUCGAUACUGGCAAGCUGGAGGGAGGUAGGGGCGGAUGGAACUUCCGGUGGAGCGGUGAAAUGUGUUGAUAUCGGAAGGAACGCCGGUGGCGAAAGCGAUCCGCUGGACCUCUUCUGACACUGAGGCGCGAAAGCCAGGGGAGCAAACGGG